rnacentral:lncRNA from 1 species
CGGCUCUGGAGAGGAGAUCAGCCUUUCAUGGAGUCGUGGGCAACAGCAGCAGCGCAGAGGUCCUUCAUUGUGACUGGUUCUUCUCUCUUUUCCCUUCCUACUCCCUUCUUAGACUAAUCCCAACACGAAUCAAACUCCCUUCAGCAUAUAUACAUAUAUAUUUCCUUUUCGUUGGGAGUUAUUCCCAUAAUACCCAGAAAAAUAUUAUCUCUCCUCUCCCUUUUUGGUUCGGUGGGAACUCAGCCUGAGAAGGGAUAGCUUGGGACCAGCCGGCUCCCUCUCUCCGAAUGCCAUCGUCUUCAUGCAUCGAUUCCCUUUUAUAGCCUUCACCUGGGUGGGAGGAUAAGGUUGAUUGAGCUGAUCCGCCGUUGGGGAGAUGAGCUGGGAUUUGGAUGAUUGCGGAGUAACCGGACACGGAAGGAACUGGGAGCUGAAAUUCAUUGGCUGAAGUUGGCUUGAUCCUUUGGGAUGCUUGCUUUCCGGACGUUAGGAUAAGGAUGCAAGGAGUUUGGAUCCGUGAGCUGCUGUCCGUGAAGUCUGGCGCGCAUGCGGAAGCUUAGAUUUGCUGGGAGGAAGUGGUUCUGAAGCAAAGGAAUUUUGGGAUGCAGGGGAAAAAGUUUGAUCCGAGAAGAUGAUGAUGGAUACGAAGAUCGUGGGAUCUAGCUUCGGAAUGAACAUCUAAGCCUUAUCCCGUAGAUGAUGGAAUGCUGGGAAGAAAUCUGGAAGAAAAGGAUGGUUUGGUUCGGAAGAGGAAAGAUGUUGGCCUGAUUCGGAAGAGGAUAAGGAUGAUCCUCUGUUCCGAAGCAGGGGAGGAUGCUGGAAUGGGGAGAAUCCAUUGCAGGUAGCAACCGAUUACGAACGGAAGGGAGAUUGACUUGUGAUUCGGAAGAGAAUAUCAAGUUCGGAAGGCUCAUCCUCGCUGGAAUCUAAAGCUUAUCUAGAAGCUGAUCUUGCGGAAGGGGGCUGGAUGGGAGCUUAUCCCAUGGCUGGCCAUGGGAUCCUCGGAUGCGGAUGGUGUUCUGGCUGAGAGGAUGUUGUUCCGAAACAGGGGAAAAGGAUGAGAAGAUAAACACGGGUGUGAGAGGGAAUCUAGGAAGGAUUUGGAAGUUGGGAGGAAGGGCUGAUCUUGAAUGACUGAAGCAUAGAAUCAGCUGGGAGCUAGGAAGGACGUGGAAGAUUCGGAAGGAAGGGAAGAUGGCUGAAUACUCUGUUCCGAUUUGGUUUUGGUUGGGAAGAAAUGAAGAUCUUGGAUGAGUGAAGCAUGGAGGAAGUGGACGUGAGAGGAUGUUUGGGCUUUAUCCCAUGGGUGAUGGAAUUCCAAUGCGAAUGGGAUUAAGAUUAGCUUGAUAGGAAAUCUAGGAGGAUCAAAGCCGGAAGAUGAUAGCUCUGUUUGGAUGCCAUGAAUGAUGGGGAGUUCGGAAGGGAGACGCGUGGAAAAGGAUGGAGCGCUG